rnacentral:rRNA from 1 species
UACGUAGGGGGCAAGCGUUGUCCGGAUUUAUUGGGCGUAAAGAGCGUGUAGGCGGUUUGGUAGGUCCGCUGUGAAAACUCGAGGCUCAACCUCGAGACGCCGGUGGAAACCAUCAGGCUAGAGUCCGGAAGAGGAGAGUGGAAUUCCGGGUGUAGCGGUGGAAUGCGUAGAGAUCCGGAAGAACACCGGUGGCGAAGGCGGCCCGCUGGGCUGUUGCUGACGCUGAGGCGCGACAGCGUGGGGAGCAAACAGG